rnacentral:rRNA from 1 species
CUGCUUUUAGAUGAGUCUGCGUCUGAUUAGCUAGAUGGUGGGGUAACGGCUUACCAUGGCGACGAUCAGUAGUCGGCCUGAGAGGGUGACCGGCCACAUUGGGACUGAGACACGGCCCAAACUCCUACGGGAGGCAGCAGUGGGGAAUCUUCCGCAAUGGGCGAAAGCCUGACGGAGCAACGCCGCGUGAUCGAAUGAAGGCCUUCGGGUUGUAAAGAUCUGUUGACAGGGACGAAUAAGCAAUGCGAAUAGUUUUGUGUAUGACGGUACCUGUUUAGAAAGCUCCGGCUAACUACGUGCCAGCAGCCGCGGUAAUACGUAGGGAGCAAGCGUUGUCCGGAAUUACUGGGCGUAAAGGGCGCGUAGGUGGGCGCUUAAGUCAGGUGUGAAAACUCCGGGCUCAACCUGGAGACUGCACUUGAAACUGGGUGUCUUGAGGGCAGGAGAGGAAAGUGGAAUUCCUAGUGUAGCGGUGAAAUGCGUAGAUAUUAGGAGGAACACCAGUGGCGAAGGCGACUUUCUGGACUGUACCUGACGCUGAGGCGCGAAAGCGUGGGUAGCGAACGGGAUUAGAUACCCCGGUAGUCCACGCCGUAAACGAUGAAUACUAGGUGUAGGAGGUAUCGACUCCUUCU